ensembl:misc_RNA Metazoa_SRP Metazoan signal recognition particle RNA
GCUGGGUGUGGUGGCUCGCACCUGUAAUUCCAGCUACUCAGGAGGCUGAGGCAGGAGAAUUGCUUGAACCUGGGAGGCGGAGAUUGCAGUGAGCUGAGAUCAUGCCAUUGCACUCCACCCCGGGCAACAGAGCAAGACUCUGUCUCAA